AUGAACAGAGUGUGUUUCUGGUCAGUGUGUUACUAACAGGUUUCUGGUCAGUUACUAACAGGUUUCUGGUCAGUGUGUUACUAACAGGUUUCUGGUCAGUGUGUCACUAACAGGUUUCUGGUCAGUGUGUUACUAACAGGUUUCUGGUCAGUGUGUCACUAACAGGUUUCUGGUCAGUGUGUCACUAACAGGUUUCUGGUCAGUGUGUCACUAACAGGUUUCUGGUCAGUGUGUUACUAACAGGUUUCUGGUCAGUUACUAACAGGUUUCUGGUCAGUGUGUUACUAACAGGUUUCUGGUCAGUGUGUUACUAACAGGUUUCUGGUCAGUUACUAACAGGUUUCUGGUCAGUGUGUUACUAACAGGUUUCUGGUCAGUCACUAACAGGUUUCUGGUCAGUCACUAACAGGUUUCUGGUCAGUGUGUUACUAACAGGUUUCUGGUCAGUUACUAACAGGUUUCUGGUCAGUUACUAACAGGUUUCUGGUCAGUGUGUUACUAACAGGUUUCUGGUCAGUGUGUUACUAACAGGUUUCUGAUCAGUUACUAACAGGUUUCUGGUCAG